rnacentral:tRNA from 1 species
UAAGGGAGACCUAUUCACACAUCCCCAACUCACGAAUUCAGGGGAGUGAUGAGUCAUCCCAAAGGUCGGUCGAGGUAGAUGUUGUUCUUUUGAGUUUCCAAACUAAGCUAGGUCGAGAUUGUGUUGAGCAAGGGCUAUUAGCUCAGGUGGUUAGAGCGCACCCCUGAUAAGGGUGAGGUCCCUGGUUCGAGUCCAGGAUGGCCCACUCAGAUAUCCACGAGGGGGUAUAGCUCAGUUGGUAGAGCGCCUGCUUUGCACGCAGGAAGUCAGCGGUUCGAAUCCGCUUACCUCCACCAGAAUUGUUCAACCAAUCAGCUAACCAUUAAUUGUCAUUGCCAGAGUUUAGCAAUCAAGUUUUAGAGAAUUGACUCUAGGAAUUGACCUGCUGGACUUAAGAGUUCAGUGAGAACCUUGAAAACUGCAUAGUUAGAGAAAAGUCAAAAAGCAAAUGGUAGUCGCUUGUUUAUUGAUUAAUGAAGUUGUGUAAUAGCAAUGCAUUUAUGGAGUAAGCAAGAGUCAACAAAACAGACAACUAUUAAGUUGU